GAUGAAGAACGCAGCGAAAUGCGAUAAGUAAUGUGAAUUGCAGAAUUCAGUGAAUCAUCGAAUCUUUGAACGCACAUUGCGCCCGCCAGUAUUCUGGCGGGCAUGCCUGUUCGAGCGUCACUUCAACCAUCAAGCCCCAGGCUUGUGUUGGGGACCUGCGGCUGCCGCAGGCCCUGAAAACCAGUGGCGGGCUCGCUGUCACACCGGGCGUAGUAGAUUUUAUCUCGCUCAGGGCGUGCUGCGGGUUCCGGCCGUUAAAAAGCCUUUUUUACCCAAGGUUGACCUCGGAUCAGGUAGGAAGACCCGCUGAACUUAAGCAUAUCAAUAAGCGGAGGA
rnacentral:misc_RNA from 1 species